CUUAGAGUGACCCUGAUACAUGUGAAGUGCAAAGUACUCUUACUACUCUUUUAGGUCUCUGGCUCAAGCUUUACAAUGGUCUUAAUGAUCAGGGCAGCAGAUUUUCCUGGAACUAAAGGAGAGAUGGGUGAGGAGCAGAUGGAAAGUCAGCCAUUCCAGAGUGCUGCAGGCUUGAGCACUGAAAAAUGCUGAGCACGUAUCUGCUCCCUACCUUGAAGAAGAACAAGCCCACAAUUGGACAGAAGCUAGGCGUUUUGUCCCUUCCUCCUACAAAGGAGCUGGCAUAGGUCUGGGCUCAACAGAAGGCAUGGAGAGCUUAUCCCAGCAAGAGUUCAGGCCACAAACACACUCACUGACUCGCAGGGAAGGAAGGAGCCUGGUUCAGCUCUGUCUUAACAGCAAUACACCUCCACAGUCCUCUGGCAUGGGAUUUGUUAGAUUUGGGUCACAAGCCCCAGCAAGUAUGAUUCUCCGUGUAUUUGCGACCAACUUAUUAUGAAGCUGUGCUGGUUUUCAACAGAUUGGCUAUAAUUUGGCUUUAAGAACAACUGCUACUUUGAUAAUAACUGAUACGUUACACUGUAAAGUGAUGAAUACAAUAUGUACACCACUCAAUUAUAUGCUCAUCUUGAUGUCUUUAUGAGAAUUUGCUUGGGAAAAAAUGGUUUUAACGUUGUAUUUUUAGAACAGAAAAUGUGUAACUGUGACCAAAAUAAAACAGACACUUAAAGCGAACCAACUGCCUAAAGCUGGUGAAGAAGACAUGACCAUAUCUCAAGUGACUCCUACACUUCCCACAGCAUAGCAAAAGUACUAUUUUUCUGUCCAAGUGUAGGCGUUAACAGGUUGGUUAAAACCAUAAUAUAAAUAGUCACAUGUAGCCGCAUCAAACGACAAAAAUCCGAUAUUUGACUAAUUGACUAUGUUAGUUUAGUUGUUUAUGUGAGAAUGUGUUAAAAGCAUCAUUUCUUAUAACAUUUAUUUGGAGUCUGAGAUGACUGUCUGUGUUAGUGUUGGGUAAGAAAAGUUGAUUUGAGAUCUUUCCUCAAAUAGACCUAAUCGAUAACACAUUCAGCAUGAAAUGGAAGUGAGUAUUAAGAAAACAGGGAGAUAGAAUAAACACCGAUGUGUUGAUUACCUGUCACAUGGCCCAGCUGGUCUGAGGUCUGUGUAAACAGUCAAAUAUUCUAACAUGAAAAGUCCUGAGAGAACUACAGUGAGUCAACAAAUGGUACAAUCUAUGAUAAAGUGGGGUGAAAGUGUGUGUGUGUGUGUGUGUGUGUGUGUGUGAGAGAGAGAUAGAGAGAGAGAGAAGGGGAAAAGGUUAUUUACAUUAAAUUAUGUGAAUUUAGCACACUUUAUUUAUUUAAAUAAUUCACUGGCCAUGGUCUUUAAAAGGAUCAUGUGGUGCGACCAUGAUUUAGCCACCAAAUAAUAUAUUUCCUUAAUAUGGUAAAAAAAAUUUUUUACAAAGUAUUAGACAUAACUAUGCAUUACUUAUGAAUUUCAGUAAGUCAGCAACAUACAUUUGUCUUGUAACUAAACCGCUUCCCAAUUUAUAAACUUUACAGACUUGUUACCAACAUAAAACGAAUUGUACAAGACUAAUAUUCACUUGAGCAUAGUGUGUCAAUUAAUAACAUUAGCCACAGAACCUACAUUUCUUAUUUUGAAUUGUAAUAUUCUUAUUGCAAUUACUGCUUAUGCCACAUGAUGGGUGAUCACACCAAAUGAUGAGAAGAGCAUGCAUGGUGUUAAAGAACACGCAAUGAGUGUUAAAAUCACUUUCUACUUUCCAUGGAUGGAGGUGUAAAGUCUAACACAGCCUUAGCCAUCUUUUUUCUCUCCCUGUAACUUGUGGAUGCAGCCCUCCAUUUCUCUUUCUGCUACUCCCUGCCUGUCUUUAGCAGGUCACUAUUCUUCACUGAUAGCUAAAACAAUAGCAUACAAUGUUUUGACGUAAAUUAGAUAUGAAAGAGGCCAAUUAAAAUGCAUGGCAUGAUAGAUAAGAACAGAAGCUGUGCCCAUGUAAUGGAAAACCAAAUUCAUCUUGCGUUUUUGAAACAAGAGGUUGACGUAUCAUGUAAAACAUUGUUAAAGUUUCUUUCACCCCCAAUUCAUACAGUCAAUACAGUAUAUGGAAGCUAAACUGCAAAAACAGCCCUUCAAUUAUUCAUAUGUUGUGACUCAUGUAUAAAUCACCUUUUUUUCAUGACAAUAGCAGGUCAGUCCCACCUAAUUAAGAUGAAACGAUAAUGAAUGUUUCAUCCUAUCCCUAGCGUAAUACAGAACAACUGUCUGAACCAUCUGAAGGUGUUUAUUAUAUACUGAUCACAAAUUCACAGUAAAAAACAAACAAACAAAAACCCAAUAGGAUUUUCACGUAGGCUUUUGGAUUAUCACAAAAAACAAUCUCUGUGAUCCACAAACGUUUACAAUACUAACACGUUUUGACCAUUAAGAUAAUUUUCAAUAAUGAAGACAACUUUUAUGAAGUUUGAAGCCUAAAUACGAUCCCCAGAAAUAAACAGCUAACCGUACACUAUAAACAAAUUACACCACGGUCGCUCGACUUCAACGUCACCAUCACCAAGCUUCAGACAAAUUUCCCAAACUUGAUUCAAAAACAUUUUCCACAAUACGGAUUUACUCUGUGAAUGAAUCUUCAUCCACCUUUUUUUUUUUGGUAAUUGUGCACAGCACACCUGAACCAGUUUAUCUGCAAAGACGUUUCCUGUUCGGCGUGAUGACGUUUAAUGUCCCUGACAACAUCUGUAGUCCCAUUUAGCAACAUGUUAGUGUCAUGAUAUUCCCUCGGCCAAGCGCUGGAGCUGGCAUCGUGCUCUGAAACCCGAAGCAAAGCUCACAGCACAAG